GGCGCGGGCGCGUGGGCGGGGGCGGGGAUCGCGCGUGCGGGCCCCUGCUCCCGUGCUGGUUUCUGCGGGGCUUGGGCCGGGCGGCCGCCGUCUGCCAAAAACAGAAGUGGCCCGCGCGAGUUCUGCGGACGCACACCUUGGCGAAGCGUUUGUGCGGCCCCAGGUCCCCCUUCCCCGGAAUGGCUCUUAUUUGGGGGGCGCAGAAGCCGGACGUUCUUACUGCAGGUCAAAAGGAUCUGGAGACGAAGACGGGAAAGUGACGCGCUCCCCUGUGCUCCUGGGUCGGAGCUGCAGUCACAGAGAGAGAAAGAGAGGCAGAGGCACAGGCAGAGGGAGAAGCAGGCUCCAUGCACCGGGAGCCCGACGUGGGAUUCGAUCCCGGGUCUCCAGGAUCGCGCCCUGGGCCAAAGGUAGGCGCUAAACCGCUGCGCCACCCAGGGAUCCCCCUAUUUUCUAAUACUAAUUUUGUUCGUUAGUAAAAACUGAAAGGCAGCGAUUUUUAUGCUAGUAUGCUAGCUUUUGAAAGCUUAUAAACAACCCAACUAUUUUGAAGAUGGGAGACACAUGGAAGAGGGCUACAGGAAAAAGCAGGCAGCAUGGGAGGCUAGUUGAAGGGACAGCAGCUGUGAGCUAACUAUUGGGUUCCAAUCAUUUACAACCUCUUGUUAGCUUAGACUAUGUAUUGUUUCCAUUGCUUUUUUUUUUUUCUUUCAGGAGAUAUUAAAUGGCUUAUCUAUUUCUAGGUGCAGUUUUCUAUUUGCCCCUGUCUUUUUUGUUUAAAAAUUAUAACCACCAUAGACUUUUUUCUCAAGCCCAAAUCAUUUCUUUAACUUGGACUCAAAAUUUGAAAUAUAUUUUGUGCACAAAAUUGCAACCUAAGUUCUUAUUUUUUACCCCUUUGUUGUUAUUUUUGCUUUUCUUUGGCCUUUUUCCAACACCCUGUUCUUAAAUGUGGAAAAUGUUACCGUGAACAUUACGUUGGAAAUAUGACUUCCUUAUUCUUAGGAGCAUGUGAGCAAGCAACAUUUGGGGUUUUCCCUUCUUACCGUGCAUACAAGGAUUUUAUUUUCCCAUGUUCAUCCCCAUACCAAGCAGUAGCAGUUUGAUUUGUUUCAAAGUUUUAGCAAGUCUCUUGUUUCAUUCUUGAUAGCAUAUCCUCUAUUUGGCAGAACGCAAGACAUCUUUCUCUCUGUUUUCUUUGGCAAGUUAUUUUCUUAUCUCAAAUUCUUUUUAUCCAGUUUGAGAGAUUGGAUUUGGUCCAGGAAAUAAGAAGGAUUCUAUUUCCCUUCCAUUAAGUAUCUUGAAAUUUAUAAGCUAGGUUAAGAAGACUGUAAGGAUUUUAUCUUCUUAUAUGUAUAAAAUGCAUAUGCUAUAUUAAAAUGUCUAUGAAGAUAAGUAAGAAUAAGGCAGUUCUUAAAUUUAAUUUCUUCCAUUUGACUUUCCGGCCGAAAAUCUAUUCUACUUUUAUUUUCUUCUUUUUUGCUAUGACCCUUUAAGGAAAAGUCCUCAUUUUAACAGAAAACAUUAGGGUAGCUUAUUUAUGGAAAUGAGGGCAUAAUUUCAGAAGUAUUCCCUGCCAUUAUCAUUAUACUUUGCAAAUUUCUCUUUUGUUAAUCCACUUUUCUUCACAAAUAUCACUGUUUACAUACUGUUACAAGUCCUUUGAAACACUCUGUUCUCCUUACUAAUGUUAAUAAUUUAAAAUGUAGUGACACCCAUCAUUGCAGAGGAAUGUGGAGGUAGCCACACACAGGAAUCAAUUGCAUUGAGCAGCCAUUGUAGCUAUAAUUACCAGUACUGACUAGCUGCUUUACUUGGCAGAAUGGAGUUUAGAGACAGAACCCCAGCCAACCUGGAUACUGCAGGGGUGAUGAAUGUGAUUUCUACCAUGCAACCUCCAAGUUCCUUGGGUUUAAAAUGCUCACGUUGUCUAUGUUUAAGUAAAUGUUGUUUAUAACAAUGUUUAA